GUGUGUGAUCAUACCAGUGUUAAUGCACCGUAUCCCAUCGGAACUUCACAGUUAAGCAUGCUUGGGAUAGAGUAUUGCUAGUA
rfam:Picea glauca, whole genome shotgun sequence.